rnacentral:lncRNA from 1 species
GCAAUCACAAUUGUUAAAAGACACACUUGAAAAAAGUGAAAGCAAAUGGUACCUUCAAGCUGCAUUAUUUUACUCCAAAGAGAAAAUAUGAUAAUGCAUUUUGUGACCUGACCUCCGUAUGUGACUAAGUGGUAUCGCGUAAAUGUAUGUGCAUUACUAUCGGAAUUCAUCCAUUGGUAGCUUGCGAAGAAGAUAAUACUCUAACAGAACUAAAACAUAAAUUACAGUAUUUACAUGGUGUAUUCCUGAAAUAUGGAGUGGUAAGUCAAAGUAUUAAUGCUAAUAGUCCAUAUCCCCAAGAAGCUAAGGAAUACCUAAUAACGGAUACCAUUUUCAUCUGCAAAUCUGUUUCUCAAUAUCCACAAAAUCUAAACAUAGCCCGAGGGCUUUGAUUUUGUAGUAAGAGCGCAACAAAUGGUGUACGCCACGGGUUCGAAUCUUGCCGAAGAUAAAAGCUCAAAUUUUAAGGGAAAAAGGGUAGAGGGACAAGCACAUUAUCUAAUGAGGUUCGAGCCGUGCGCCACUGACCAUCGAAAAUUUCUUGUUUAUAAAAGAAAUUUAAUUUACCUAUAUAACAACUACUACUUCUGGUAUACCCUUCUUGGCUCUAUCUCUCACCAUUUUCGAACACCAGCAACAAUAAUCCACAAUCUAAAACCUCCAAAUGCACACAAUUGCUUAGCUCUAAUCUGGUUCUGAUUAUAUCCAAAUUAAGGAACAAUUCGGAGUUGAAGUUGCCAGAAUUGACAAUUUUGUUGAAGUUGUGGGUGGUAAAUUCUUGAGAAAUCUCCUCAAAGCGCGUUGAUUUUUGGGUUGGUGGAAUCCAUUAGGUCUUUGUAUUUGAGCCGUAUUUUCUAGGGUUUUGUUCAUUUCACCGUGUGCUCAAGAGCCUCUCUAUUUGGUCUUUUCUGAUUGGUUGUCAGGCAACCUUCUCAUAGUUUAUCUUCUGUGUACUACUUGCACCAUCACCACCAGCCAUAUUUUCGUUAACUUCAAGGGCUGCAAUUCAGGUUCUAUUGUUCCUCUCUUGUCUUGAUAUUUUAGCAAAAUUGUAUCUCCUUGCCUGCCUAUCUUGUUCUUGAAUCCUUAGUUAGUAUUUGCCAUAGCACUGCCAAAUUAAUUGCAUUAGUGAUAGCUUUGCCUACUUAUUUAUAUUGUUAGCUACCUAUUUACUUCUUUAUUUUGAAUCUUUAUUUCAUAUAUCCCCUAGUAGUUACUGUUCUAGUUUUGCACAUUUUCUUUUUGACCUUUAGUUAUAGAUUAUAGCCCACUUUAGCUCUUUUAUUGUAUUUCUUCACCUAUUUUUCUGUUCUUUAGUUGUAGAAUAUAGUUUCAUUUAGUUCCUUUAUUUUAUUUCUUCACAUGUUUUUCUGACCUUUAUUGUAGAUUAUAGUUCCCGUUAGUUCCUUUAUUCUUUUUCUUCACCUAUUUUGCGACCUUUAGUGGUAGAUUAUAUUUAGGUAAUUCAUUUUAUUUUUGUCGCUUAAUUUCGGGAUAGUGCUUGCGUAGUGACUCCUAGAUUAUAGUGGCUUUGGUGAACGAUGGUAGGGUAAGGUCUUGUCCUCGGGGGUGUCAGCACGGGGGAGAGGGUGCAGGGAUAAGAGGGCAAGAGAGCUACAAGGCUAAGAGUGGGGUCUUGGAACAUAAGAAUUUUGACUAGAAAAUUUGUAGAGUUAGCGAUGAUUCUCGAGAAAAGAAAGAUUAAUAUAGCUUGUGUACAAGAGACUAGUUGGGUAGGAGAUAAGGCGCAUGAUAUGGACAGGUUCAAACUAUGGUAUUUUGGGAGGGUGAGGGCAGGAAUGGGGUAUGUAUCUUGGUUGAUAAUGACCUCCGUGAACUAGUGGUGGAGGUUAGGAGGGUGAAUGACAGGCUGAUGACUAUUAAGGUAGUUGUUGGAGGUUUUAAUUUGAACAUAAUCAGUGCGUACGCACCCCAAAAAGGCUUGGAUGAGGAAGUCAAUAAGCGCUUAUGGGAGGAUUUGGAUGAGAUGGUGCAUGGUAUCCCGCAUACUGAGCAUCUUUUCAUAGGAGGAUAUUUCAAUAGCUACAUUGGAGCGACGUCUGUGGGCUAUGAUGAUGUGCAUGGUGGCUUUGAUUUUGGAGAUAGAAACGGAGGAGGAACGUCUCUGUUGGACUUUACUGGAGCAUUUGAUUUGGUGAUAACAAACUCGAGUUUCCCGAAGAAGAGGGAGUACUUAGUCACCUUUCGGAGUUUGGUGACCGAGACGCAGAUUAAUUAUUUACUCUGCAGGAAGUCCGAUAGAGGUUUUUGCACGGAUUGCAAGGUCAUCCCGAGUGAGAACCUCUCGACCCUUCAUAGGCUCCUGGUUAUGGAUCUUGAGAUCACGAGGAAGAGGAGGAGAAUGGCGAUGUAUAGCCAACAUAGGAUCAAGUGGGGAGCCUUGACGGAAGCUAAGGCGCAGGAGUUAAGGGUCAAGCUGUUGACUAUGGGGGCAUGAAGGAGUAGUGGGGACGCAAGCGCUAUGUAGACCACGGCUGCGCAGUGCAUUAGGGAAGCCGCAAGAGAGGUAUUAGGGGUCUCAAAGGGUUAUUCUGGUGGUCACAACGGAGACUGGUGGUGGAAUGGAGAUGUCCAAGAAAAAGUGAAAACCAAGAAAGCAGCUUAUCUGAAGCUAGUGAAAAGUCUAGACGAGGAGGAGAAGAUGGCGAAUAGGGAGCAUUAUAAGUUGGCUAAUAAAGAGGCAAAGCUAGCAGUUACGGCAGCCAAGACUACAACUUUUAGUCGUUUGUACGAGGAACUCAAGGGCCGAGGUGGGGAAAGAGGUUGUUCAGGUUCGCCAAGGCGCGAGAAAGGUAGGCGCGUGACUUGGACCAAGUGAAGUGCAUCAAAGACGGAGAAGGUAAAGUUUUGUUGGAUGAGGGGCAUAUCCGUCGGAGAUGACAGACCUACUUCCAUAGUCUCUCGAACGAGGAGGGGCACAUGAACAUUGUACUGGGUGAUUUGGAACUCUUCGGGAGUCAUUGUAACUUUGGGUAUUGUAGACGGAUUAGAGUUGAUGAAGUUGAGGGGGCUAUGCGUAAGAUGAGCAGGGGAAAAGCAACCGGGCUGGAUGAAAUUCCGAUGGAGUUUUGGAAGAGUGCGGGCAAGGAAGGCUUGGAGUGGAUCACUAGGUUAUUUAAUGUCACUAUUAGAACGAAUAAGAUACCCGAAGAGUGGAGGUGGAGAACGAUGGUUCCUAUAUAAAAGAAUAAGGGUGAUAUCCAAAAUUGCAAUAACUAUCGGGGUAUCAAGCUGUUUAGCCAUACUAUGAAAGUUUGGAGAGAGUGGUAGAGCAAAGGGUGAGGAAGAGUGUGUCUAUUUUUGAAAACCAGUUCGGGUUUAUGCCGGGGCGUUCAACUACAGAAACCAUCCACCUUGUUAGAAGAUUGAUGGAGCAGUAUAUGGAGAGAAAGAAGGACUUGCAUAUGGUGUUCAUCGACUUAGAAAAGGCGUACGAUAAAGUUCCGAGAGAGGUUUUGUAGAGAUGUUUGGAUGCUAGAGGUGUACAUGUUGCCUACGUUAGGUUGAUUAAAGACAUGUAUAAUGGAGCAAAGACCCGAGUGAGGACGGUGGGUGGGGACUCAGACCAUUUUUCGGUUAUGAUGGGGUUGCAUCAGGGUUCGGCACUUGGACCUUUUUUGUUUGCUCUGGCAAUAGACGUAUUGACGCGCCACAUGCAAGGGGAGGUGUCGUGGUGCAUGCUAUUUGCAGAUGAUAUUGUAUUGAUUGACGAGACGCGAGACAGUGUGAACGUGCAAUUAGAGGUAUGGAGGCAGACCCUGGAGUCUAAAGUUUUCAAGUUGAGCAGGAUCAAGACAUAAUACUUGGAGUGUAAGUUCAGUAGCGAGACUCAAGUAGGGGAAUGAGAUGUGAGGUUGGACUCACAGGUCAUCCCUAGGAGAGUAAGUUUUAAGUACCUUGGGUCUAUUAUUCAGGGGGAUGGGGAGAUUAUGUCACACAUCGUAUUGGGGCGGGAUGGAUGAAAUGGAGACUCGUUUAUGGUGUUUUGUGUGACAAGAAGGUAUCACCAAAACUUAAAGGUAUGUUCUACAGAGUGGUGGUUAGGCUAACGAUGUUAUUUGGGGCUGAGUGUUGUCCAGUCAAGAUCGCUCAUGUCCAGAAGAUGAAUGUAGCAGAGAUGAAGAUGUUGAGAUGGAUGUGCAAGCACACUAGGUUAGAUAGGAUAAGAAAUGAGGUUAUUCGCGACAAGGUGGGUGUGACCCCUAUUGAGGACAAGAUGCUGGAAAAGCGGCUUAGGUGGUUUGGUAAACACAGACGCCCCGGUGAGGAGAUGUGAGAGGUUGACAUUGGAGGGCCUACAGAGAGGUAGAGGUAGGCCAAAGAAGAGGCCAGGAGAGGUGAUUAGGCAAGACAUGGCGCAACUUCAGUUGACCGAGGACAUGACCCUUGAUAAGAAGGUAUGAAAGUCGAGGAUUAGGGUAGUAGAGUAGGUACUCUAGAGUGUUCAUAGCAGUAGUAUUGACACACAGUUUCGCUUUCUGUUGGUAAUAUAUUUUUAUGAGUAACCGUUGUUUUCUUUCAUUGUUGAUCACUUUACUAUCUUGUUGUUUUUAUUCUACUUUUAUAUGGCUUUUUGGUACUCUCUUCUUGUUUAUAUUUUCAUUAAUGUGGUGCUCAUGCUUUCCCGAGCCGAGGGUCUAUUUGAAACAAUCUCUCUAUCCUCACAAGAUAGGUUAAGGUACGUGUACACACUACCCUCUCCAGACCCUACGGUAUGGGAUAAUAGUGGGUAUGUUUUUGUUGUUGUUUUGCUUUUUCCUAUUUAGGAUGCAUAUAUAAGUGGACAAGAUUGUGCUGAUAAUGUUGAGAAAAGGCCCAAAAUUGGAACUCUCAGAUAUAAAGAACCUUUGCUGACUAAAAUGAAUCAGAACUUGCCCUACUCUAUAUGAGUAUUUCUCCUGAUAUUCAGUAGAGUUUUGAGACAAAGUCUACCCUUUCUACUACCAUUGUAUACAUAUUCUCUUCAUUUUUGGUUUUCUUAGGCAAAAUGUAACUGGAUUCCUACUUCAUGAAGUCAGCGCUCUAAAGAUUGUGAGUAUCUUGCAUCUGGUUCAAUAUUUUACAUAAGCACCUUAUAUUAUGUUGUUGAUGUUAUAACAAUUAGUAUUUCUAACCAGAGGCGGAUCUAGGAUUCUGAAAAGACGGGUGCAACAUUUCGGGAUGAGAAAAUCGAGUAAACUUCAUGCGUGUGAAAACUGGGAAGUUUCAUGGGAAUUGAUUGCUAUAGUGAUUUAAAGAAUAAAAAGGAAAGUUACGUUAGUAGAAAUAGAAAGAAAAGAAAUAUUUAAGAAAAAAAUUAAACAAAACUUUUGGUUGGGGGAUUUGAUCCCUUGACCUUAGGUUGGUGGAAAUAAGGCGCCAAAGCCAAUGAACCACUUCACCUCUUUUGACCUUGGGUUCCAUUAAAUAUGUAUAUGUAGUUUUGCCAAAUUAUGUACAUCAUAUAUAUACUUUAACCCGAGUACCACGGGUUCACGUGAACCACAUUUUAUACCGUGGAUUCGCCCCUGUUUCUAGCAGGUAUCCUACUUGGUCACCUUGGAAAGUAAUGUUGUGCAGAGAAAUUUUCUCCAUCAAAGAGGCAAAGAGAUUAUGUAGGGCAUCUACCCCUGACAGAAAAGAAGACGGAAAGAAAGUCGAUUAAUACCUUAGCAAUACCGCGAAUAUUGAUGUUUGUAUUUGUUAUUGUUGAGAAGGAGUGAAUAGAGAUCCAACCAAUUAUUGGUGAUGAAUCCAGCUUUUCUCCGUUCUUUGGAGUAAGGGGGCGCGAGGGGAAGAGAUGGGACCAAAAAAAGUGAAUUCAUUCGUGAUAGUUGCAGUAGUAAUCGUUUGAUCUGACUAAUAAAACUUUUUGAUUUUAAUCAAUUGUUAAAAUACUGCAACAUAGUUAUGUUUUGUUAUUAGGUGGUAAAAGUGUAGAUUUUAUUCGAUAUUAAUGUUGUUUUUUCUUGUUAACUUUUGACGUGUAGAAGUAAUUGUAG